UACGUAGGGGGCAAGCGUUGUCCGGAUUUAUUGGGCGUAAAGAGCGUGUAGGCGGCCAAACAGGUCAGCUGUGAAAACUCGAGGCUCAACCUCGAGACGUCGGUUGAAACCGUAUGGCUAGAGUCCGGAAGAGGAGAGUGGAAUUCCCGGUGUAGCGGUGAAAUGCGCAGAUAUCGGGAAGAACACCCGUGGCGAAGGCGGCUCUCUGGGACGGUACUGACGCUGAGGCGCGAAAGCGUGGGGAGCAAACAGG
rnacentral:rRNA from 1 species